rnacentral:rRNA from 2 species
ACUUAAAUUGAAGAGUUUGAUCAUGGCUCAGAUUGAACGCUGGCGGCAGGCCUAACACAUGCAAGUCGAGCGGUAGCACAGAGAGCUUGCUCUCGGGUGACGAGCGGCGGACGGGUGAGUAAUGUCUGGGAAACUGCCUGAUGGAGGGGGAUAACUACUGGAAACGGUAGCUAAUACCGCAUAACGUCGCAAGACCAAAGUGGGGGACCUUCGGGCCUCAUGCCAUCAGAUGUGCCCAGAUGGGAUUAGCUAGUAGGUGGGGUAACGGCUCACCUAGGCGACGAUCCCUAGCUG